rnacentral:rRNA from 1 species
GGGCAGAUUUGCUUAUUGCACCACAUGUGUUUUUCUUUGAAACAAACUUGCUUUGGCGGUGGGCCCAGCCUGCCGCCAGAGGUCUAAACUUACAACCAAUUUUUUAUCAACUUGUCACACCAGAUUAUUACUAAUAGUCAAAACUUUCAACAACGGAUCUCUUGGUUCUCGCAUCGAUGAAGAACGCAGCGAAAUGCGAUACGUAAUAUGAAUUGCAGAUAUUCGUGAAUCAUCGAAUCUUUGAACGCACAUUGCGCCCUCUGGUAUUCCGGAGGGCAUGCCUGUUUGAGCGUCGUUUCUCCCUCAAACCGCUGGGUUUGGUGUUGAGCAAUACGACUUGGGUUUGCUUGAAAGACGGUAGUGGUAAGGCGGGAUCGCUUUGACAAUGGCUUAGGUCUAACCAAAAACAUUGCUUGCGGCGGUAACGUCCACCACGUAUAUCUUCAAACUUUGACCUCAAAUCAGGUAGGACUACCCGCUGAACUUAAGCAUAUCAAUAAGGCGGAGGAA